UACGGGGGGUGCGAGCGUUUAAUCGGAAUUACUGGGCGUAAAGCGCGCGUAGGCGGCUUUGCAAGUCGAGUGUGAAAUCCCCAGGCUCAACCUGGGAACUGCAUUCGAGACUGCAUAGCUAGAGUAUGGGAGAGGGAAGUGGAAUUUCAGGUGUAGCGGUGAAAUGCGUAGAUAUCUGAAGGAACAUCAGUGGCGAAAGCGACUUCCUGGACCAAUACUGACGCUCAUGUGCGAAAGCGUGGGGAGCAAACAGG
rnacentral:rRNA from 1 species